UGCUGGUUAUUGUCGAUUAUAUUUUGAUUAGACUGUUUAGUCGGCAACGGUUGUUGAUUUGUGAUAUUCACAUCUUGAUUUUGUGUAUUAGAUAAACACGCACUUUUCGUUUUAUUUGUUAUGCACUCACUUGGGGAAGGGCAUAGGGGAGGAGAGCGAAUAGACGCCCGACGAGUAGCCUGACAGUCCUUGCACAAAUAUUUGUUGUUAGUGCUAAGUAAAAAUUCUAAAUCGCUUUGCAAAAUCCCAACACAACCUAAAUGGAAAAAUUCGCCGCACUUAGCGCAUUGAACUUUGGCAUUAACUUUGUUGCGAUCAACUCUCUGCCCACAAACACACGGCAUUUUACAGCUAAUAUGCAAAUUAUGCUUUGUAUUUCAAUAAAGGAGUCACUGUCUCUAUAACAUUUGUUUAUUAUUUAGAUUAUGAAUUUUUUAAACAAUGUAAUAUAUAUUACAUAAUAAGAAGUAAAAAGGCACGGAGCUCGAUGAAAACACGUCUAUACCGAAUGAGCAUACACACAUUUUCAACUGGCUUUUGGAGCGAAUAACUGACUUGGUAACGGGCAGACUCACAAGGUUAUCUUUGUGAACGAAUUUCUGAGUAAGAACUCAACAAAUACCCUCGAGCAAUCCCCGGGCUCAAGAGUGAUAGAAUAAAGAUUACGCGAAAAAUAAGAAUAACUUUGCCGUGACUUAAUUCUAGAUGAAGUGUGUCAAAGAACUUUGAGAGAGAUAGAGUGCCCAAAAAGCGAGGACUUUUAAACAAAGUUAGGUUAGGUUAAUGUGGUUCAGAAAAGAGUGCGAAAAAUGCUUUAAUAUUAGAUUGGCUUUUUAGCACAAGUGCAUUAUUUCGAAACCCACCUACUUUGAGGGCGAUGCAAUAAAUUUAAAUGAAUAACGAGUAUUGUGGGUCUUAAUAGUUGGAAUUCAAACUAUCAAUGUUUUUGACUUUCACAGCUAAAAUAAGAUCCAUAAUGUUUAAAAAAUUAAGUUUAUGGUUAGACAUUUACAAAGUUUGGUUGAAGAUGAACAUUUUUCCCAAAAAAUCUGCUCUGAUGAAGCUCCUUUACCCUCGGCACCAAUUGAAUUGUAUUUGGAGUGCGGGAUUUCUUAACGUCGUCAUUGAGAAGCCGAUGCAUUCACAAAACUUGCCGUGUGAGGUUGCCUGUCUCCCAUCGGUGGGAUAUGGGAACGCUCGGCAACUAUGUAUGCAGAGUAGUUGGGGAAAUAAAAUACCACUUGCGCACCAAAACGAGCAAGACCUGCUUGAGGUGUAGAUAGUUUUCAUCUAACACCAAGCUAGGAUAAGCGGGCUAGCAAUCUACUUAUUCGAAUCUAAGUUGCUAACGAAUCGUUGGACAGCCUGGACUCCACUAGGAGUUAAAGGAAAACAUACAUAUCUAUCAUAUAUUCCGUUUCAGCCCGCAUUGAAGAAAAGAGAAAGAAAUAAUUCGCGCACAAACGAAAUUCGCACAAUUACAUGAAGUUGAUGUGUUGUUUGCGUUCUCAGCUGCGAAAGAGAGCAGUUACUACGUAAUCGUUGCCGACGCAAAACCCUGCGGAUAUUCU